rnacentral:rRNA from 1 species
GAUGAACUAAGCCAUGCGAGUCAUUGUAGCAAUACAAGGCAGACGGCUCAGUAACGCGUAGUCAAUCUACCCUAUGGACGGGAAUAACCUCGGGAAACUGAGAAUAAUGCCCGAUAGAACAUUAUACCUGGAACGGUUUAUGUUUCAAAUGAUUUAUCGCCGUAGGAUGGGACUGCGGCCUAUCAGUUUGUUGGUGAGGUAAUGGCCCACCAAGACUAUUACAGGUACGGGCUCUGAGAGGAGUAGCCCGGAGAUGGGUACUGAGACACGGACCCAGGCCCUAUGGGGCGCAGCAGGCGAGAAAACUUUGCAAUGUGCGAAAGCACGACAAGGUUAAUCCGAGUGGUUUCUGCUAAAGAAACCUUUUGCUAGUCCUAGAAACACUAGUGAAUAAGGGGUGGGCAAGUUCUGGUGUCAGCCGCCGCGGUAAAACCAGCACCUCAAGUGGUCAGGAUGAUUAUUGGGCCUAAAGCAUCCGUAGCCCGUUUUGUAAGUUUUCGGUUAAAUCCAUACGCUCAACGUAUGGGCUGCCGGGAAUACUGCAUAACUAGGAAGUGGGAGAGGUAGACGGUACUCGGUAGGAAGGGGUAAAAUCCUUUGAUCUAUUGAUGACCACCUGUGGCGAAGGCGGUCUACCAGAACACGUUCGACGGUGAGGGAUGAAAGCUGGGGGAGCAAACCGGAUUAGAUACCCGGGUAGUCCCAGCUGUAAACUAUGCAAACUCAGUGAUGCAUUGGCUUGUGGCCAAUGCAGUGCUGCAGGGAAGCCGUUAAGUUUGCCGCCUGGGAAGUACGUACGCAAGUAUGAAACUUAAAGGAAUUGGCGGGGGAGCACCACAAGGGGUGAAGCCUGCGGUUCAAUUGGAGUC